CACAGCUGCAGCUACUACCCUGAGGGCACCUGAUCUCAUCAGAUCCCAGGAGCUGAGCAAGGUUGGGCCUGGUUAACACUUGGGUGGAGGCAGGCUUUGUGUGGGCAACAGCAGUGG
rnacentral:rRNA from 1 species